rnacentral:tRNA from 1 species
GGCCUUGUGGUGUAUAACACGUCAGAUUGCAAAUCUGGAGAUGCGGGUAAUCCCUAGCUCAGGCCU